rnacentral:rRNA from 1 species
UACAGAGGGGGCAAGCGUUGUUCGGAAUUACUGGGCGUAAAGGGCGCGUAGGCGGCCUCCUAAGUCAGACGUGAAAUCCCCCGGCUUAACCUGGGAACUGCGUCUGAUACUGGCGGGCUUGAAUUCGGGAGAGGGAUGUGGAAUUCCAGGUGUAGCGGUGAAAUGCGUAGAUAUCUGGAGGAACACCGGUGGCGAAGGCGGCAUCCUGGACCGACAUUGACGCUGAGGCGCGAAAGCCAGGGGAGCAAACGGG